rnacentral:ncRNA from 1 species
GGUCUUCAGGGCAGGGUGUAAUUCCCGACCGGCGGUAUAGUCCGCGAGCGCUUCGGCGCUGAAUCGGUGCAACUCCGAUACCGACAGUAGAGUCUGGAUGAAAGAAGAU